rnacentral:rRNA from 1 species
AGCGAACGCUGGCGGCAGGCCUAACACAUGCAAGUCGAACGAAGUCUUCGGACUUAGUGGCGGACGGGUGAGUAACACAUGGGAACGUGCCCUUUGGUACGGAACAACUCAGGGAAACUUGAGCUAAUACCGUAUGUGCCCUUCGGGGAAAAGAUUUAUCGCCAUUGGAGCGGCCCGCGUCUGAUUAGCUAGUUGGUGAGGUAAAGGCUCACCAAGGCGACGAUCAGUAGCUGGUCUGAGAGGAUGAUCAGCCACAUUGGGACUGAGACACGGCCCAAACUCCUACGGGAGGCAGCAGUGGGGAAUCUUGCGCAAUGGGCGAAAGCCUGACGCAGCCAUGCCGCGUGAAUGAUGAAGGUCUUAGGAUUGUAAAAUUCUUUCACCGGGGACGAUAAUGACGGUACCCGGAGAAGAAGCCCCGGCUAACUUCGUGCCAGCCGCCGCAGUAA